UCCAUUUUUGGUGUUUUAGGGUUCGGUCACUUUGAGCUUCAAUUGUAAGUCCAUUUUUUCGGUUUUUAAUGAUUUUUACGUUUUUGAGAUCAUUGUUUCGUAUUCUAGCUAGCCCGUACCUUAGAUUUCAAAAUUGUUAAAGAUUUUUCAUGUUUCCAUUGUUGAAUGCUUGAGUAAUUUGAUGAUGUGUGAUAGAUUUGGAAGGUUUAAUGUUAGAUUGAUAGCUUUUGUAAAGUGAUUUUUGACAAAAAUGUUAAAAAGGGAUUAAAUUGAGAAAUUCUAAAAUAAAAUAUAUGGGCUGCUAGGGACUCCAUUAAAAUUCGGCUAAGCGUGGGUUUAUGAUUAAUUGCAUGAAUUUGCAAUUUUAUGUGAUAGGGACUAAAUUAUAAAAGUGUGAAACAUUAGGGGCAAAUGUGUAAAUUUACCAAAAUAUGAAUUAAAGGCUAAAUUAAAUAGAUCGGAUACUGAAUGUGCUAAAAUUGAAAUAUAUAUAGAUCAAGAUAAGUAAGGAUUGAAUCUAGAUUGGGGAAAAGGAAAGGUUGACGAUUAGUCGAUAUUUGUUAUCCAAGUGAUACGAGGUAAGUUCGUAUAAUUAGAAUCGAACUUUUAAAUACUUGUAAUUAUUUGAAAUGAAUGUAUGUAAUUGAGUAAAUGAUAUAUUCAAAAUUCAAAUGCUUUAUUGAUAUAGUUUGAUGGUUACCUAACCCCGUUUGAAUCGUAGGAAUUCGUAGGAUACGAGUGACAUGUCACUAAGGUUACCAUUUAGGUCAAGAUCCUGCAUGUGUUGCGAACUCACCUCAGCUCGUAUGAGCUUACUGAUAUAUCAGCUUGUAAGAGCUUAUUGUUCUCAGCUCGUAAAAGCUUACUGUUUCUAGCUCGAUAAAGCUUACUGUUCAUUAGCUCAAAAUAAGCUUACUGAUCAUAGCUCGAAAGAGCGAAUACAAUGAUGAAUUAACGGAUUACCGAUUAAUACACUUAAUGUGUAUCACCCGUGUAUCUAUCGAUAUUCUGAUAGGUUCAAUGGGCAUAAUUCUUCUAAUGAUUAUACGGAUGAAUUCCUGAUUAUAUAAAUGAAUUGUCAAUUAUAUGAAUGAGAACGAAUUGUUACAUAUGUUAUACAUGUUACAUGAAAUUAGUAUGAUAUAAUACAUUGAUGUAUGAAAUUGAGAUAAAGGUUGAUUAUAUGUAAUUAUGGGACUAGCUUAUUGAUGAAUGCUUAUGUAUAGGAAUUUGGCAAGUGAAUUUGAUAUACUUUGUUUAAUUGUUUCAUUAUGUAUAAAUGGUAAGUUAAAUUCUGAAUCAUACGGGCUUACUAAGCUAUAAAACUUACUUUGUUUCUUUUCCGUGUUUUAUAGAGGUUUGAUAGCUCGCUUGAUUCGAAUUGAGUCGGAGUUACGCAUCACACUAUCCAGUUGUCGAUUAAUACCUUUGAACUUAUGGAUAUAUGUAAAUAUGGCAUGUAUAGGCUAGUUAUAAAGAUGAUAGUUAUAGUUACUUGAGAUGGUGAUUUUGGUACAUGUUGUGGCAUAUGUUGAAGCCAUGUGAUUUGGCUUAACUUGUUAUAAUGUUUUGAUUGUGUAUAAGUAUUCAAAUAUUGUAUGUUUUGGCAAGUAGUAGAUGGAAAAGAAAUAUGCAAUAUUG
rnacentral:lncRNA from 1 species